rnacentral:rRNA from 1 species
UACAGGGGUCUCAAGCGUUGUUCGGAUUCAUUGGGCGUAAAGGGUGCGUAGGUGAUUGGGUAAGUCAAAUGCGAAAUCCCGGAGCUCAACUCCGGAACUGCAUUCGAUACUGCCCGGCUCGAGGAUUGGAGAGGAGACUGGAAUUCACGGUGUAGCAGUGAAAUGCGUAGAGAUCGUGAGGAACACCCGUGGCGAACGCGGGUCUCUGGACAAUUCCUGACACUGAGGCACGAAGGCCAGGGGAGCAAACGGG